rnacentral:rRNA from 1 species
GAUGAACGCUGGCGGCGUGCCUAAUACAUGCAAGUCGAGCGAACGGACGAGAAGCUUGCUUCUCUAGUGUUAGCGGCGGACGGGUGAGUAACACGUGGAUAACCUACCUAUAAGACUGGGAUAACUUCGGGAAACCGUAGCUAAUACCGGAUAAUAUUUUGAACCGCAUGGUUCAAAAGUGAAAGACGGUCUUGCUGUCACUUAUAGAUGGAUCCGCGCUGCAUUAGCUAGUUGGUAAGGUAACGGCUUACCAAGGCAACGAUGCAUAGCCGACCUGAGAGGGUGAUCGGCCACACUGGAACUGAGACACGGUCCAGACUCCUACGGGAGGCAGCAGUAGGGAAUCUUCCGCAAUGGGCGAAAGCCUGACGGAGCAACGCCGCGUGAGUGAUGAAGGUCUUCGGAUCGUAAAACUCUGUUAUUAGGGAAGAACAUAUGUGUAAGUAACUGUGCACAUCUUGACGGUACCUAAUCAGAAAACCACGGCUAACUACGU